GCUUACGGCCACACCACCCUGAACACGCCCGAUCUCGUCCGAUCUCGGAAGCUAAGCAGGGCUGGGCCUGGUUAGUACUUGGAUGGGAGACCGCCUGGGAAUACCAGGUGCUGUAUUUU
ensembl:rRNA 5S_rRNA 5S ribosomal RNA